GGCGUUCCGCUACAAUCUUUUUGAAAUAUUCAUACUAACUUUGUUGGAACUUCCUUGAAAUUCCAACGCAAUCCAUAGAUACCAUAAGACAAAUUGGGGAAUUCUCUGUCUUUUUGGACAAACCUGAGUAGGACAAAAGGUAUUCAAAAGUAGAAUAAUCCAUUCAGUUGAUUAUAUGACUGUACAGAGCUACUACAGAUAACUAGGCAUGGUCCUCUGUGCUGCUAUAAGUUCUCCAAAGACAAGACUGUGCCAUCCACAAAGAGGAACAUUUGGUCCUUAAGGGCUUGGUGUCUAGUCUUGUUAGAUUGCAGUAAACUCUAAUUUUCCGCAAGCCAAUCGGUGGCCAGAAACCUAAGUUGAAGAUGAAAAUGUACAUAUCUGCUAUAAGCAUUCUCAAAUGUAUGAUAUUUUAUAGAGCAUUCAUUAACCUUCUUGUGACAAUAAAUUACCCUUUAUAGAAGUCAUUCCUGACAUCAUUUGUCGAGAAAGGGUUAAUAAAAUGUAAAGACAUAUACAUAAUAAAGUGGCACAUACAUCUAAUUCACGUUACCAAACUGAUGUUAUGUUAGCUGUGCAAAAGUAAAAGUACUGGCUUCACACAGCAAG